GACGAACGCUGGCGGCGUGCCUAAUACAUGCAAGUAGAACGCUGAAGGAGGAGCUUGCUUCUCUGGAUGAGUUGCGAACGGGUGAGUAACGCGUAGGUAACCUGCCUGGUAGUGGGGGAUAACUAUUGGAAACGAUAGCUAAUACCGCAUAAUAGCAGUUGUUGCAUGAUAACUGUUUGAAAGGUGCAAUUGCACCGCUACCAGAUGGACCUGCGUUGUAUUAGCUAGUUGGUGGGGUAACGGCUCACCAAGGCGACGAUACAUAGCCGACCUGAGAGGGUGAUCGCCAACACUGGGACGGAGCCACGCCCAAGCCUCCUGCGGGGGGAAGCAGGAGGGAAUCUUGGGAAAUGGAGGGAAGUCUGACAGAGCAACGCCGGGUGAGUGAAGAAUGUUUUGGGAUCGAAAAGCUUUGUUGAAAGAGAAGAAGGAGGGUGGGAGUGAAAAUUUCACCCUGUGAGGGUUUCUAACAAGAAGGGGACGGCAAACUAGGGG
rnacentral:rRNA from 1 species